CUCGAUAUUGUGAUUGCUUCGCUAAAGUUGAUCAAACUUGAUGAUUUGGAGGAAAUAAAAGUCGUAACAAGGUUUCCGUAGGUGAACCUGCGGAAGGAUCAUUGA
rnacentral:rRNA from 1 species